UACGUAGGAUGCAAGCGUUGUCCGGAUUUAUUGGGUUUAAAGGGUGCGCAGGCGGCCUAUUAAGUUAGUGGUGAAAACGUUCGGCUUAACCGGAUACCCGCCAUUGAUACUGAUAGACUUGAGUGCGACAGAGGGUGUUGGAAUGUGUGGUGUAGCGGUGAAAUGCUUAGAUAUCACGCAGAACACCAAUUGCGAAGGCAGAUGCCUAUGUCGUAACUGACGCUGAGGCACGACAGCGUGGGGAGCAAACAUG
rnacentral:rRNA from 1 species